UUUAUCAACCAAGAAAAUGAACUCACACAAUUAGCUCUUCAAACUCUGUAAACGUGGCCAACAAGUUCUUAUUUUGUGUUCUCCUUAUCACACUCACUGUUAAUUUAUUUUGGUCCUCAAACACUCAAGUGAUGGCUCUGCGAGACCUACCUUUAUCAGAAGAAGUACAAGUGAUUGAGCAAAGUUUACAACUCCGAGGAGGAAAGCGUUGUUUCUCCACUUGCUAUUCUCAUGCAGAAUGCGCUAAGCCGUGUACUCUAUGCAGGCAGGCGCGACCUCAUUAUGACCCUGAAAGGAAAUGCUUUAAGCCAAAGUGAUCCAUUUAUUCAAUCUCAUAUCAUAAAAUGUCUUCUAUAUGUAUUUUAUUUUCUUCCUGCAUCUUCUGAGCUUUGUGUCGUUUAUAAAAGAACUAGUUGGUGA